UACGGAGGGAGCUAGCGUUGUUCGGAAUUACUGGGCGUAAAGCGUACGUAGGCGGCGAUUCAAGUCAGAGGUGAAAGCCUGGAGCUCAACUCCAGAACUGCCUUUGAAACUAGAUUGCUAGAAUCUUGGAGAGGUCAGUGGAAUUCCGAGUGUAGAGGUGAAAUUCGUAGAUAUUCGGAAGAACACCAGUGGCGAAGGCGACUGACUGGACAAGUAUUGACGCUGAGGUACGAAAGCGUGGGGAGCAAACAGGAUUAGAUACCCU
rnacentral:rRNA from 1 species